UACGUAGGGGGCGAGCGUUAUCCGGAUUCAUUGGGCGUAAAGCGCGCGUAGGCGGCCGCCUAAGCGGAACCUCUAACCCCGGGGCUCAACCUCGGGCCGGGUUCCGGACUGGGCGGCUCGAGUGCGAUAGAGGAGAGCGGAAUUCCCGGUGUAGCGGUGGAAUGCGCAGAUAUCGGGAAGAACACCGAUGGCGAAGGCAGCUCUCUGGGCCGUCACUGACGCUGAGGCGCGAAAGCUGGGGGAGCGAACAGG
rnacentral:rRNA from 1 species